rnacentral:rRNA from 1 species
AGCAGCCGCGGUAAUUCCAGCUCCAAUAGCGUAUAUUAAAGUUGUUGCAGUUAAAAAGCUCGUAGUUGAAUUUCGGGACCAAUUUGUUGGUCGUGCCUCGGUACGUACUGGUAUUAUUGGUUUCUCCCUUCUGAAGAACCUCGAUGCCAUUAAUUUGGUGUCGUGGGGAAUCAGGACUGUUACUUUGAAAAAUUAGAGUGUUUAAAGCAAGUAUAUGCUUGAAUACAUUAGCAUGGAAUAAUGAAAUAGGACGUUUGAUUCUAUUUUGUUGGUUUCUAGGAUCGACGUAAUGAUUAAUAGGGAUAGUUGGGGGCAUUAGUAUUCAAUUGUCAGAGGUGAAAUUCUUGGAUUUAUUGAAGACUAACUACUGCGAAAGCAUUUGUCAAGGAUGUAUUCAUUAAUCAAGAACGAAAGUUAGGGGAUCGAAGACGAUCAGAUACCGUCGUAGUCUUAACCAUAAACUAUGCCGACUAGGGAUCGGAUGAUGUAUUUUUAAUG